rnacentral:pre_miRNA from 12 species
AUAAUUUUUACAGAGUUUUUGACGUUGCAGGUACUGCAUCAGGAACUGAUCGGUUAAGUAUCCGUCACUGUCAAUUCCUAAUGCGCUGCCUUCAGCAUCUAAACAA